rnacentral:rRNA from 1 species
UGGGCAAUCCGCAGCGAAGUCCCUAUUAUAGGGAGCGCGUUCAGAGACUAGAUGUUUGUGGGUCGCCGAGUCGUCGGUGGCUUAAGGUAUAGUCCGUCCCGUCCCGAAAGGGUCUGGGGUUCAAAUGUAGAUGUUCUGGGCCGCACGCGCGCUACACUGACAGAGCCAGCGAGUUUAUCACCUUGGCCGGAAGGUCCGGGUAAUCUUGUGAAACU